UGCCCCAUGGCUGAGUUGGUUACAGCGUCCGACUGUUAGGUAAUCACGCUUACGUAAUCGGAAGGUCGAGAGUUCGAGCCUCUCUGGGGCAG